UACAGAGGGUGCUAGCGUUGUUCGGAAUCAUUGGGCGUAAAGGGCGUGUAGGCGGUUUGUUAAGUCAUGUGUGAAAUCCCUCGGCUCAACCGAGGAAAGACGCAUGAAACUGGCAAGCUAGAGUACCGAAGAGGGGGGGUGGAAUUCCCGGUGUAGCGGUGAAAUGCGCAGAUAUCAGGAGGAACACCAAUGGCGAAGGCAGCUCGCUGGGACGGUACUGACGCUGAGGCGCGAAAGCGUGGGGAGCAAACAGG
rnacentral:rRNA from 1 species